GGCUAUUAUGAAAAACGAAACUCGUUCAAAAUAACGCUUAUUCGUUAAAUUGCGAUCAGAAAAAACGAUUGUAGUGACACUAAAUCGUCAAAUUGCGAUUAAGAAAAACGAGAAUCGUAAAAAUGACGAUACUCGUAUUUUUAUUUACGAGUGCCUGCAGCUCUCGUUCAGCUUUCGUUUUGGGGGUAGAUGUCAAAUGUCAUUUAUUUUUUUGUUUGGUUGGUUUUUGUUUUGUUAAGUGCACAAAAAAAUGCAAGCCUACAACUAAUGCUAAGCAGUUGGAUUUGCUGGUAGCUUUUAUGGAAACCAAUCCAAACAUAGCAAAAAAUUACUUGCCGACGAGCCAAGCCAUAGCCAAAUCCAAAAUUCUUUGGAAGGCUUUGACUGAUAAGAACUUGGAAGGCUCAUUGGGUUCGAUGAAUCUCUUAAAACUCUUCUUUUUAUACGCAUUUCCUCUUCUUCGUUAGUUUGGGAUUCAUCUUUGCUUUCAAUGAAAUAGUCGCAGUGAAAAAACAUUUUAUAGAAUUUAUGCAAAUUACAUUUAUUUUUGAAACUU